rnacentral:rRNA from 1 species
CCUACGGGUGGCAGCAGUGAGGAAUAUUGGUCAAUGGACGCAAGUCUGAACCAGCCAAGUAGCGUGCAGGAUGACGGCCCUCCGGGUUGUAAACUGCUUUUAGUUGGGAAUAAAAGGGGGCUCGUGAGCCUCGUAUUGUAUGUACCAUCAGAAAACGGCCCGUCUAAUUCCGUGCAAGCAGCCGCGGUAAUACGGAAGGUCCGGGCGUUAUCCGGUUUUAUUGGGUUUAAAGGGAGCGUAGGCCGGCUUUUAAGUCAGCUGUGAAAGUCCGCGGCUCAACCGUAGAAUUGCAGUUGACACUGGAGGCCUUGAGUGCACAGAGGGAAGCCGGAAUUCGUGGUGUAGCGGUGAAAUGCUUAGAUAUCAUGAAGAACUCCGAUCGCGAAGGCAAGUGUCCGGGGUGCAACUGACACUGAGGCUCGAAAGUGCGGGUAUCAAACAGGAUUAGAUACCCGGGUAGUC